UAAACGACUCUUGGCAAUGGAUAUCUCGGCUCUCACAUCGAUGAAGAACGUAGCGAAAUGCGAUAUUCGGUGUGAAUUACAGAAUCCUGGAAUCCUGGGAACCAUCGAGUCUUUGAACGCAAGUUGCGUUUGAAGCCAUUAGGCCGAGGGCACGUCUGCCUGGGCAUCACAC
rnacentral:rRNA from 1 species